rnacentral:rRNA from 1 species
AACGAACGCUGGCGGCAUGCCUAACACAUGCGAGUCGAACGAGACCUUCGGGUCUAGUGGCGCACGGGUGCGUAACGCGUGGGAACCUGCCCUUAGGUUCGGAAUAACUCCCCGAAAGGGGUGCUAAUACCGGAUAAUGUCUUCGGACCAAAGAUUUAUCGCCUUUGGAUGGGCCCGCGUUGGAUUAGCUAGUUGGUAGGGUAAAAGCCUACCAAGGCGACGAUCCAUAGCUGGUCUGAGAGGAUGAUCAGCCACACUGAGACUGAGACACGGCCCAGACUCCUACGGGAGGCAGCAGUGGGGAAUAUUGGACAAUGGGCGAAAGCCUGAUCCAGCAAUGCCGCGUGAGUGAUGAAGGCCUUAGGGUUGUAAAGCUCUUUUACCCGGGAUGAUAAUGACAGUACCGGGAGAAUAAGCUCCGGCUAACUCCGUG